rnacentral:lncRNA from 1 species
CAAAUUAGAAUCCAAGGAAGUUGUCAUGUCAUCACUUCAUUUUUUUGCGCCUGCGCAUAAAUCUGAGAAACAAACCACAUUUGUUCCGGACCUGGGAUGCCUUCCGGACCUGGGAUGCCUGCCUUCUGAUGGAGAUAAUCAAAGGUGGAGAGAGUCUCCGCUAGGAAUUUACGACCUGAGAUAACAGAACCUGGGUGUAGGAGAGAGUGGGAAACCAUGAUCUAUACCCAGAAAGGGCCACAUCAUGACACAGGCCUCAUGCCAGUCAGAAUGGCCUCCAGUUUCUCCGUCUCCUCAUCAGUAAAGAGCCACUGCUUGUCAGAGCCAUGCUGCCUCUUCUGUGGAGGCUCCACAACCUCCUCCUCAUCAGUGUCCUCAAAGUCACACCAGGCCUUUGUCUUCUGUGUCACUGGAUGUAUGCCAGUCUCUCUUUCCAUGUCAGCCACAAUGAUGUAUAUAAACCCUGGAAUGCUGAUGCUAUGUAUUGGCCAAUGAGAGGCUUUGAAGCCUCUGGUUAUAUUUGUGCUCCACAGAAGAAGCAGUCCUCCAUAGGGAUGAAUGGAAUUCUACAGUAUUUUAUUUCAAUUCAAUGUUUCAAGGAAAAAAUUAUAUGUAUUUACGUAUUUUUUGUUGUAGUGGGGACAGUAACAUUAGAACUUUCAAAAAAUGAUAGUUCAAGGAAACGUUUAUAUAUUUUUCAUUUUUAUUCGUAUGUUUAUCUCAUAAUAUAAUUUAAAAGUAUGCAUUAAG